rnacentral:misc_RNA from 1 species
CUUUCUACGGAGUACAACCUACGUUAUGGAAAAAAAAUAUUUGUAUCCAGUUUUGAGAGAUUUAUCUCUCGGUUCUUUGAAAACUGAAUAUCGACAUUGAUAUAUUAAUUAAUAUUUCAAAGUUUAGAUCAACCAUAGAAUAUUUAUAUUUUAUAAGACAAACAAUAGGUCAUACAAUUAACAAAACU